UACGAAGGGGGCUAGCGUUACUCGGAUUGACUGGGCGUAAAGGGCGCGUAGGCGGUUUGUACAGUCAGACGUGAAAUUCCUGGGCUCAACCUGGGGGCUGCGUUUGAUACGUGCAGACUUGAGUUCGGAAGAGGGUCGUGGAAUUCCCAGUGUAGAGGUGAAAUUCGUAGAUAUUGGGAAGAACACCGGUGGCGAAGGCGGCGACCUGGUCCGAUACUGACGCUGAGGCGCGAAAGCGUGGGGAGCAAACAGGAUUAGAACCU
rnacentral:rRNA from 1 species